rnacentral:rRNA from 1 species
ACGGGUGAGUAACACAUGGGUGACCUACCCCACAGUGAGGAAUACCGGCGAGAAAUCGCCGACAAGACCGCAUAGGCUUUCUCGGGUGGCCCUGAGGAAGCAAAGUCGCAAGACGCUGAGGGAUGGGCCUGUGGCCGAUUAGCUAGUUGGUGGGGUAAGCGCUCACCAAGGCGACGAUCGGUAGCUGGUCUGAGAGGACGAUCAGCCACACUGGGAUUGAGAACGGCCCAGACUCCUACGGGGGGCAGCAGUGAGGAAUUUUCCGCAAUGGUCGCAAGACUGACGGAGCAACGCCGCGUGCAGGAGGACGCUUUUCGGAGUGUAAACUGCUUUUCUGUGGGAAGAGGAUGGACGGUACCACAGGAAGAAGCCCCGGCUAACUACGUGCCAGCAGCCGCGGUAAUACGUAGGGGGCGAGCGUUGUCCGGAGUUACUGGGCGUAAAGGGCACGCAGGCGGUGCGGCGCGUUUCGCGUGACAGCGGAGGGCUUACCUCUCCGAGGAUGCGAAAGACGGCCGCACUUGAGGGCCAGAGAGGGACACGGAAUUCCGGGUGGAGUGGUGAAAUGCGUAGA